UACGUAGGGGGGCUAGCGUUGUCCGGAAUCAUUGGGCGUAAAGCGCGCGUAGGCGGCCCGGUAAGUCCGCUGUGAAAGUCAAAGGCUCAACCUUUGAAUGUCAGCGGAUACUGCCGGGCUAGAGUCCGGAAGAGGCGAGUGGAAUUCCUGGUGUAGCGGUGGAAUGCGCAGAUAUCAGGAGGAACACCGAUGGCGAAGGCAGGUCUCUGGGCAUUAACUACGUGAGGAGCGAAAAGCAUGGGGGAGCAAAACAGG
rnacentral:rRNA from 1 species